rnacentral:misc_RNA from 1 species
AUUAAUUUUACUUGUUUGUCUAGAAUUAAAUGAGAAUUUAAUUACUUGUUAGUUUCUAAAUAAAUUUCAUUUUGAUUUGGUGUAUCUUUUUAAGAUGCCUUGUAUUCAAUGAGCAACAUAAUUUCAAUUGAACUCCAAUUUUAUCAUUUAAAUUUUAAGCAUAAUGAAAGUACGAAUGUGGAAUGUGGUAUGAAAAAUAUUAUUUGCUUAUCUGUUUAAUGUUAUUAUUAAUUAUUUGCUG